UUCGGGUUGUAAAGCCCUUUCGGCGGGGACGAAAACGACCGGGCCAGUAGACGGGGCGGAUGAUGGUACCGGCCAAGAACCACCGGAUAACUACGUGGCAGCGGCCGGGCCAAUACGAAUGGGGCGAGAGGUAAUCGAAAUUACUGGGCGUGAAGGAUGCGCGGGAGGCCCUGUCAGACCGGAGGGAAAUCCCCGCACUCGACCUGUAAACUGCACUGGAGACUGCAGGAAUUCAGAACGAAACAGGGGGAUGGAAUUCCAGUAGGAACAACGACAUGGGUAAAGAUCAUGAGGAACACCGAAGCUGAAGGUGGCCCCCUGGGGCGGGACUGGCCAUCAG
rnacentral:rRNA from 1 species